rnacentral:rRNA from 1 species
GACGAACGCUGGCGGCGUGCUUAACACAUGCAAGUCGAACGGAAAGGCCCUGCUUUUGUGGGGUGCUCGAGUGGCGAACGGGUGAGUAACACGUGAGUAACCUGCCCUUGACUUUGGGAUAACUUCAGGAAACUGGGGCUAAUACCGGAUAGGAGCUCCUGCUGCAUGGUGGGGGUUGGAAAGUUUCGGCGGUUGGGGAUGGACUCGCGGCUUAUCAGCUUGUUGGUGGGGUAGUGGCUUACCAAGGCUUUGACGGGUAGCCGGCCUGAGAGGGUGACCGGCCAAAUGGGGAUGGAGAGCGGGCCCAGACCCCUCGGGGGGGAAGGGGGGGGGAAUUGGGCAAAGGGGGGGGAGGCCGGAGGCAGCACCGCCCGGGGGGGAAGGGGGGCUUGGGGGUGUAAACCCCUUUCCGCUGGGGAGGAGGGGGGAGGGAGGUGAGGGGAUAAAAAACCCCGGGCUAACACGGUC